AGCGCAUACGGUGGAUGCCUUGGCAGUCAGAGGCGAUGAAAGACGUGGUAGCCUGCGAUAAGCUUUGGGGAGUCGGCAAACAGACUGUGAUCCAGAGAUCUCUGAAUGGGGGAACCCACUCAGCAUAAGCUGAGUAUCUUGUACUGAAUACAUAGGUGCAAGAGGCGAACCAGGGGAACUGAAACAUCUAAGUACCCUGAGGAAAAGAAAUCAACCGAGAUUCCCUUAGUAGUGGCGAGCGAACGGGGACCAGCCCUUAAGUUGGUUUGAGAUUAGUGGAACGCUCUGGAAAGUGCGGCCAUAGUGGGUGAUAGCCCCGUACACGAAAAUCUCUUAUCAAUGAAAUCGAGUAGGACGGAGCACGAGAAACUUUGUCUGAACAUGGGGGGACCAUCCUCCAAGGCUAAAUACUACUGACUGACCGAUAGUGAACCAGUACCGUGAGGGAAAGGCGAAAAGAACCCCGGAGAGGGGAGUGAAAUAGAACCUGAAACCGUAUGCGUACAAGCAGUGGGAGCCUACUUUGUUAGGUGACUGCGUACCUUUUGUAUAAUGGGUCAGCGACUUAUAUUCAGUGGCGAGCUUAACCGAAUAGGGGAGGCGUAGCGAAAGCGAGUCUUAAUAGGGCGUUUAGUCGCUGGGUAUAGACCCGAAACCGGGCGAUCUAUCCAUGGGCAGGUUGAAGGUUAGGUAACACUGACUGGAGGACCGAACCGACUACCGUUGAAAAGUUAGCGGAUGACCUGUGGAUCGGAGUGAAAGGCUAAUCAAGCUCGGAGAUAGCUGGUUCUCCUCGAAAGCUAUUUAGGUAGCGCCUCAUGUAUCACUGUAGGGGGUAGAGCACUGUUUCGGCUAGGGGGUCAUCCCGACUUACCAAACCGAUGCAAACUCCGAAUACCUACAAGUGCCGAGCAUGGGAGACACACGGCGGGUGCUAACGUCCGUCGUGAAAAGGGAAACAACCCAGACCGUCAGCUAAGGUCCCAAAGUCAUGGUUAAGUGGGAAACGAUGUGGGAAGGCUUAGACAGCUAGGAGGUUGGCUUAGAAGCAGCCACCCUUUAAAGAAAGCGUAAUAGCUCACUAGUCGAGUCGGCCUGCGCGGAAGAUGUAACGGGGCUCAAACCAUGCACCGAAGCUACGGGUAUCAUCGUAUGAUGAUGCGGUAGAGGAGCGUUCUGUAAGCCUGUGAAGGUGAGUUGAGAAGCUUGCUGGAGGUAUCAGAAGUGCGAAUGCUGACAUGAGUAACGACAAUGCGAGUGAAAAACUCGCACGCCGAAAGACCAAGGUUUCCUGCGCAACGUUAAUCGACGCAGGGUUAGUCGGUCCCUAAGGCGAGGCUGAAAAGCGUAGUCGAUGGAAAACAGGUUAAUAUUCCUGUACUUCCAGUUAUUGCGAUGGAGGGACGGAGAAGGUUAGGCCAGCCUGGCGUUGGUUGUCCAGGUUUAAGGUGGUAGGCUGAAAUCUUAGGCAAAUCCGGGAUUUCAAGGCCGAGAGCUGAUGACGAGUUGCCUUUAGGCGACGAAGUGGUUGAUACCAUGCUUCCAAGAAAAGCUCCUAAGCUUCAGAUAACUGGGAACCGUACCCCAAACCGACACAGGUGGUUAGGUAGAGAAUACCAAGGCGCUUGAGAGAACUCGGGUGAAGGAACUAGGCAAAAUGGCACCGUAACUUCGGGAGAAGGUGCGCCGGCGAGGGUGAAGGACUUGCUCCGUAAGCCCAUGCCGGUCGAAGAUACCAGGCCGCUGCGACUGUUUAUUAAAAACACAGCACUCUGCAAACACGAAAGUGGACGUAUAGGGUGUGACGCCUGCCCGGUGCCGGAAGGUUAAUUGAUGGGGUUAGCGCAAGCGAAGCUCUUGAUCGAAGCCCCGGUAAACGGCGGCCGUAACUAUAACGGUCCUAAGGUAGCGAAAUUCCUUGUCGGGUAAGUUCCGACCUGCACGAAUGGCGUAACGAUGGCGGCGCUGUCUCCACCCGAGACUCAGUGAAAUUGAAAUCGCUGUGAAGAUGCAGUGUAUCCGCGGCUAGACGGAAAGACCCCGUGAACCUUUACUAUAGCUUUGCACUGGACUUUGAAUUUGCUUGUGUAGGAUAGGUGGGAGGCUUUGAAGUGGGGACGCCAGUUCUCAUGGAGCCAUCCUUGAAAUACCACCCUGGCAACUUUGAGGUUCUAACUCAGGUCCGUUAUCCGGAUCGAGGACAGUGUAUGGUGGGUAGUUUGACUGGGGCGGUCUCCUCCCAAAGAGUAACGGAGGAGUACGAAGGUGCGCUCAGACCGGUCGGAAAUCGGUCGUAGAGUAUAAAGGCAAAAGCGCGCUUGACUGCGAGACAAACACGUCGAGCAGGUACGAAAGUAGGUCUUAGUGAUCCGGUGGUUCUGUAUGGAAGGGCCAUCGCUCAACGGAUAAAAGGUACUCCGGGGAUAACAGGCUGAUACCGCCCAAGAGUUCAUAUCGACGGCGGUGUUUGGCACCUCGAUGUC
rnacentral:rRNA from 1 species